CCUCCAGACUCCUACGGGAGGCAGCAGUGAGGAAUAUUGGUCAAUGGACGCAAGUCUGAACCAGCCAUGCCGCGUGCAGGAAGACGGCUCUAUGAGUUGUAAACUGCUUUUGUACGAGGGUAAAUGCAGGUACGUGUAUCUGUUUGAAAGUAUCGUACGAAUAAGGAUCGGCUAACUCCGUGCCAGCAGCCGCGGUAAUACGGAGGAUCCAAGCGUUAUCCGGAUUUAUUGGGUUUAAAGGGUGCGUAGGCGGUUUUAUAAGUUAGAGGUGAAAUCUCGGGGCUCAACUCCGAAAUUGCCUCUAAUACUGUAGGACUAGAGAGUAGUUGCGGUAGGCGGAAUGUAUGGUGUAGCGGUGAAAUGCAUAGAUAUCACGCAGAACCCCGAUUGCGAAGGCAGCCUUCCGGCGCCCUACUGACGCUGAGGCACGAAAGUGCGGGGAUCGAACAGGAUUAGAUACCCUUGUACU
rnacentral:rRNA from 1 species